AUACGGAGGGUGCAAGCGUUAAUCGGAAUUACUGGGCGUAAAGCGCACGCAGGCGGUCAAUUAAGUCAGAUGUGAAAGCCCCGAGCUUAACUUGGGAAUUGCAUCUGAAACUGGUUGGCUAGAGUCUUGUAGAGGGGGGUAGAAUUCCACGUGUAGCGGUGAAAUUCGUAGAGAUGUGGAGGAAUACCGGUGGCGAAGGCGGCCCCCUGGACAAAGACUGACGCUCAGGUGCGAAAGCGUGGGGAGCAAACAGGAUUAGAUACCCUGGUAGUCCACGCUGUAAACGAUGUCGAUUUAGAGGUUGUGGUCUUGAACCGUGGCUUCUGGAGCUAACGCGUUAAAUCGACCGCCUGGGGAGUACGGCCGCAAGGUUAAAACUCAAAUGAAUUGGCGGGGG
rnacentral:rRNA from 1 species